GACGAACGCUGGCGGCGUGCUUAACACAUGCAAGUCGAACGAUGAAGCCGGAGCUUGCUCUGGUGAAUUAGUGGCGAACGGGUGAGUAACACGUGAGUAACCUGCCCUUGACUCUGGGAUAACUGCGGGAAACUGUAGCUAAUACCGGAUACGACCCUCGGAGGCAUCUCCUGGGGGUGGAAAGAAUUUCGGUCAAGGAUGGACUCGCGGCCUAUCAGCUAGUUGGUGAGGUAAAGGCUCACCAAGGCGACGUCGGGUAGCCGGCCUGAGAGGGUGACCGGCCACACUGGGACUGAGACACGGCCCAGACUCCUACGGGAGGCAGCAGUGGGGAAUAUUGCACAAUGGGCGCAAGCCUGAUGCAGCGACGCCGCGUGAGGGAUGACGGCCUUCGGGUUGUAAACCUCUUUUAGCAGGGAAGAAGCGAGAGUGACGGUACCUGCAGAAAAAGCACCGGCUAACUACGUGCCAGCAGCCGCCGUAA
rnacentral:rRNA from 1 species